AACGCGAAGAACCUUACCUGGGCUCGAAAUGCUAUGGACAGUCCGUGAAAGCGGAUCUUCCCCUUAAAAGGACCGUAGUAUAGGUGCUGCAUGGCUGUCGUCAGCUCGUGUCGUGAGAUGUUGGGUUAAGUCCCGCAACGAGCGCAACCCUUGUCCUGUGUUGCCAUGAUCGCAAGAUCGGAACUCGCAGGAGACCGCCAGGGAUAACCUGGAGGAAGGUGGGGAUGACGUCAAGUCCUCAUGGCCUUUAUGUCCAGGGCUACACACGUGCUACAAUGGACGGUACAAAGCGUCGCUAACCUGCGAAGGGGAGCCAAUCGCAAAAAACCGUUCUCAGUUCGGAUUGCAGGCUGCAACUCGCCUGCAUGAAGCUGGAAUCGCUAGUAAUGGCAGAUCAGCACGCUGCCGUGAAUACGUUCCCGGGCCUUGUACACACCGAGACGAC
rnacentral:rRNA from 1 species